UUAGCCAAACAUUAUCCAAAAGCCACCAAAUUUUGUGUGGAGCCAGGGAAUAAUAUUCAGAGACUCCCCACAAAGUUUGGUGAUUUUUGGGCACAUUGAUAAAUUACUAAAAUUCAGAGAAGUUUUAUUUGCUAAUUAAAAGAGGCAAUUUUUAUACACUUGCAAACUAUCAGAAAACAGAACCUAAUAUUUUUCUUGGGUUCUACUUAUUCCAGGGAAUCUACACAAAAAUUUCCAUGAUUUUUGGAUCUACACAAGAUUUAUGACACAAAUUCAAAUAUAAAACAAAAACUGCAUAAAAAGGAAAAAGAAAAACACUGCAGCGAGCGGCCGGAAAUCGGCCCGCAGGCCGGCCCACUCCCGCCCGGCCCACGUGGACGCUGCGCGCGCUGCCCCCUCUCUGCGCGGUCACUGACGAGCGGGUCCCGCUCGUCAGACCCCCC
rnacentral:lncRNA from 1 species